GGAGAGAUGGCUGAGCGGUCGAAAGCGGCAGUCUUGAAAACUGUUGGGCCGGUAACGGUCCCGUGGGUUCGAAUCCCACUCUCUCCGCCA
rnacentral:tRNA from 1 species